ensembl:misc_RNA Metazoa_SRP Metazoan signal recognition particle RNA
GCUGGGCAUGGUGGCGCGUGCCUGUAAUCCCAGAUACUCAGGAGGCUGAGGCAGGAGAAUCACUUGAACCCAGGAGGCAGUGGUUGCAGUGAGCCAAGAUCACACCACUGCACUCCAGCCUGGGCAACAGAGUGAGACUCUGCCUCAA